rnacentral:rRNA from 1 species
UGGGGAAUAUUGCACAAUGGGGGGAACCCUGAUGCAGCGACGCCGCGUGAAGGAAGAAGUGUUUCGGCAUGUAAACUUCUAUCAGCAGGGAAGAAAGUGACGGUACCUGACUAAGAAGCCCCGGCUAACUACGUGCC